UACCAGCUCUUCGAGUGGUGUGGAUGUUUAUUGGGCCUAAAGCAUCCGUAGCUGGCUGGGCAAGUCCCCUGUUAAAUCCACCGAUUUAAUCGUUGGAGUGCGGGGGAUACUGUUCGGCUAGGGGACGGGAGAGGCAGACGGUAUUUUCGGGGUAGGGGUGAAAUCCUAUAAUCCCGGGAAGACCACCAGUGGCGAAGGCUGUCUGCUAGAACGCGCCCGACGGUGAGGGAUGAAAGCUGGGGGAGCGAACCGGAUUAGAUACCCGGGUAGUCCCAGCUGUAAACGAUGCAGGCUAGGUGUUUGGGCGGCCACGUGCCGCUCUAGUGCCGCAGGGAAGCCGUUAAGCCUGCCGCCUGGGGAGUACGGCCGCAAGGCUGAAACUUAAGGAUUGGCGGGGAGCACCACAAGGGGUGAAGCUUGCGGUUU
rnacentral:rRNA from 1 species